CAAACAAGCAGCGUUCCAUCUCCAUCAGUAAUUUCUCAAAACAACAAUAAAAUCAAACGCGUUUUCCCCUUCCCUCUUCUUCCUCCUUUCUUAUCUCCCUUAAUUGAUAAACCCUAAGACCCUAGUUGCAUCACCAUAGCUAUUCGUGCCUGCCAAGAUUCGCCCUAUUUUCAGUCGUUCCAACUCGUGACCCCGAGAUAUCAGCAAAAACAGACCCAAAUUGAUACAAGAGUUAAAUUUUAUUUUGAAUCCAUGAUUAAUGCUCGAGAACCGUCCAAAUCUGAGGGGGUAUUAGUCCAUUUCAGCCUUUGAUUUUCAAAUUUUGAAUUUACCCGUUGACUUUCUCGAAUUUUUGGUUCAAAUUUGGACUUUGAAGUCCGGAUUUUCCUAUAAAUACUCGCGAUUUUAGCACUCAAAAAAAAGGAGAGUUAGAAAAAAAAUAAGUUAGAACACUCUAAAAUUGGGGAAUAUUUACAAAUUCACAAACAAAGUUAAGAAUCGAAAGUUUCUUUUCUUGUUUUCGGUAUAGGAUCGAGAUUCCGAAGUUCGAGCUAGAUAUCUGAAAAAAUUCUUGACGUAGAGCCCCAGAUUUGCUGCUCAACAAAAGAUUUUGUGAACAAACUCCACCUCUGUCCAAAUCAGAGCAAUGCUCGUGUCCAGCAAUCCAAUCCUCGCAUCAAAGUGUUCACGUGUCUCCCUUCUUUUUCUUUUCUCCUCAAAAUUUUAUAUCCUUGUAUUGACAUAUAUGCAUAUACUCUUACUUCCUAAUAUAACAUUCUGGUAGUCUGCAUUGUUUUCUUUGUUAGUAUUUGUUUGUGCAUGAAUUAUGACUAAGAAUCAAGUAGGAUGGCUUCUUCCCUUUGGAAUUAUACUUGAUUUAAACGGGAUUAAAAUACCACCCAUUAUUUUUUUUUGAAUUCCCAGAAAAGAAGCAACCUUUCACAACAUCAUUUUUUCUAGAUUGCUUCAAACAAAAAUGAAGAUUUCUUGAAAUAUUGUCAUUAAUAAUUUUAAAUCAGGAGUUUUGGCUCUCAGUAGAUUUGCGAGUAUGCCCAAGUUUUCAAACCCAUCCAACUGCUCCAAGCCUGAAAGUUCAAACCAAUAAUAGAAGGUUUCGAAACAUAAGGUAUAUAUGGGUUCCUAUGCUAACUAUACAAGGUAUAUUUUACGACAAUUAUUAUCAUUUUACUCAUUUUUCGUUAAUAUUUAUUUUCCCUACCAGUAUCGCUAUUGUCAUUCAUGCAUCAUUUCAACUUCAUCACAUAUAUAUACACUUUACUAUUACUUUAUUUUCUAUCUAGUUCAAACCCCUUGAAAAUCACCAAUUGAAUAAAUUUUUGCAUUCUUUUCAUACACUUCUGAAUAUACAUAUACUAAUGUUUAUUUUACAGACAAAGGUAUACUUUCCUCUACUUUAACGUCAUAUACUUUCGAACAUAUUUUCUUAUAGAAUUAAAACGUUAUAAUACGCAUACAAAAUAUAAUUUUUCCUUUCCCAUAUUUUUGACAAACAUAUAUAUUUUACAACAAUUACGUUAUAUAUCAUGGUAUAUUAUAGCGGUAUAUUUUAUAUACCUUCAGUUUCUUUUCCACAAAAAUUAUCAAGUCUUUUUUUAAUUACCAUUUUAGCAACUAAUAAAAUAAAUAAUUCCCAAAUAUUUUUCUAAAACUAAGUUUAAAGACUAUCUUUGGAUAGUCUCUGAGGGUGCUUAAUACCUUCCCCUCGAGUAACCAAAACCCUUACUUAGAAUCUCACUGGUUUUCGCAGAUAAAAAAUAGAGUUUCCACAUCAUAAAAAUGGUUUUCCUAG